GACGAACGCUGGCGGCGUGCUUAACACAUGCAAGUCGAACGGAAAGGCGCUGCUUUUGUGGGGUGCUCGAGUGGCGAACGGGUGAGUAAAACGUGAGUAAAAUGCCCUUGACUGUGGGAUAACAUCAGGAAACUGGGGCUAAUAUAGGAGAGGAGCUACUGAUGCAUGGUGGGGGAUGGAAAGUUUCGGUGGUUGGGGAUGGACUCGCGGCUUAUCAGCUUGAUGGUCGGGUAGUGGCUUACCAAGGCUUUGAAGGGUAGCCGGCCUGAGAGGGUGACCGGCCUCAUUGCGACUGAGAUACGGCCCAGUCUCCUACCGGCCGCAGCAGUGGGGAAUAUUGCACAAUGAGCGGAAGCCUGAUGCAGCAACGCCGCGUGCGUGAAGACGGCCUUCUAGUUGUAAACCGCUUUCGCCUUUGACAUAGCCUGCGUGACGGUAAUGAGUAAAGAAGCACCGGCUAACUACGUG
rnacentral:rRNA from 1 species